rnacentral:tmRNA from 1 species
UUUCGACCGGGCAGGGAAGGUUCGGCGUGGCGCGUCGAGGGGUGUGCUGGCCUCGUAAAAAGCACACAACACUUAUAAUUGCCAACAGCAAUUACGCACUCGCAGCCUGAUACAGGUUGCGCGUCCCGCGCUCAACGCCCGAUAGGGCGUGGGAUGAAGAUAUCGGGCUGGCUUGUGCGUGAUGCCAUCAGGCGCACGAGUAAGAAAACACUGAGGGCUGGGCCGAACGGGAGGCUGUCGCUGGCCGCCCAUAGGCUGAGAUUAAUGAAGCGACUACACGCGUAGAGGCGCCGAGUUGACUGUCACGGGACGGGGGUUCGAUUCCCCCCGGCUCCAUUC